CUUAGUCAGAAUCCGUGCUAGAAACGAUGAUGUUGGUGUCGCACAUUAGACUUGUGUUUAAAUAGAGCUUUGCUCGUGAACCAAAUAUGGUGGGCUGGGUUGUCUUUGCGGAAACGCUUGGGCGACUUGUCUACGAAUUGUAAUCAUAAUAUGGGCGGCGGUGAAUCCUUUGCAGACGACUUGAAUGGGAACGGGGUACUGUAAGUGGUAGAGUAGCCUUGUUGCUACGAUCCACUGAGGUUAAGCCCUUGUUCUAAAGAUUUGUUCA
rnacentral:rRNA from 1 species